rnacentral:lncRNA from 1 species
UGGUCCUUAGGUCGGUGGGAGGCUGGGCCAGGUGGCAUGACCCAAUUGGUCGGUCGACCGACCGACCUUUGGGCCCCUGGCCCACCACUGGCCUCCUGGAGGUGUCCCCACUUGUCAUGUGAAGUGUUGUCCAAAGUUGAGUCUAGUUGCACACUUGCUUGCUUCCAUGUGGGCCCAAGGAUCCAUGUGCUAAGUGUUUGAACCGUUGAGGGCAAGCACAGUUGGAUCCAAUGGUUGGGAUUGACUCCUUGGAGUAUGCCAUGGCUCAAGCCAUGGAGGGGAGCCCUUGGUGGGCCCAAACCAUGGUCGGCCGACCGAGGUUAUGGGGCCCACAGGGCUCAUUUCCUUCUUCCCUCCAUCGAACAAGCUAAGAGUACAAGUGGAACUUUAUUAGUGAUAAAUAUGUUCAUGUGAUGCUUAUCUUCCUUCAAUCAAGGACUGUUAACGGGAUUUUGAGUAUAUAGAACUGGGUGUUAUUUCCCGUCAACAAAUGGUCAUGCUCCCAAGAUCAAGAUCACUUACAUCCACAUAUAUCCUGCUGCUCCUACCCUUGGAGUACGCAAAACAUGCCUUUCCACCCCAAAAUCUUUCUCCUCCACUGGGAGAAGAUUCAAAAAAAGAUUGUUAGGUUUCCAAAUAAAUGCUCCAAGAUUCUUAUUUUUCUCUUCUCCAAGUUCAUUGUAUCCUAAGUAAGACAUAGGAGAUACUUUGUCAAAAAAAAAGAAAAAAAGAAAAAGAGAAGUCUUUGAUCUCUAUGCCUUGAAGUUCAUCAUUGAAAGCAGGAAGAAGAUAUCCCAAUACCUCCACAACAAAGUUCUUCAUAAAUUCUUCAAUUGGAGGUAGUCUAUCUAGGAGCAAAGUAGAAUUAGGUUAGCCACCAAUUAUCUCCACACACAAAUGCACAUCUUGAUCUAAGGGUAUGGUCUCCCCUCUGAGCAUCCCAGUUUUGACAAAGCAACACAUGCAAUGUGAGUAUGCUACAUCAUUGAAAUACCCUCGGCUCUAUAUAAGCCUAUUAGUUAUAGGGUGAUAGAGAGGAGGCAUGAUGCUACUCCGCCUUAUUCUAAAAAUACCACAUAUUCUAAGUGAAAGAGAAAAGGAAAAUCACCACCAGUGCCAUGGUAAGGAUCCACAAAUAGCACAUAUGAGAGACUAUAAAGGGUCAUAUAAAGGAAUCUUUGCAUAUUAUUUUGAAAACUUACAAAAACUCCAGAAUGAAGGUUGAUAAAAGAACUUGAUACGCACGCUUGACUUGAUUGUUCUGUCUGUCAACUACUCAAGACCCAAGUGAAGGUCAAAAGCUCCAUAGUUGAAGGUAAUACGAGUAAGUUUGAAAGUUAGAAUAGUUAAAUACAAUCCAAGAUGAAUUCUUGUUUGAACACAUGUGUACCUUUGAGAAGUCAAAGCAUUGUAGCCACUACUGAUCCAUUGUUCAGAUUGGCUUUGCUAAGGGACUAGCAAAGGAUAACCUUGGGGGAAUUUGUUGACGAUCAAUAAUGCACAUUUUUAUCCAUCAACUAUUACUUGAUAUGACAUGAUAUGAACCACAAAGCAUAAUUAUAGGGUUUGAAACUAACAAGUUCCACGAGUUUUGUUGAAUCUAUGUUUUACAGGGGUUAGACUAAAAAAGGUCUAGAAUCACCAAAUAGAAGUAUCUCAAGUGAUGCAUUGGUGUACACCAUUACGAAGAGCUCAUAGAGACACAUGAAAUAGAGUUUUGAUUCACCC